AACGAAAAUCCAUAUAUUAGUAAUUUCACAGAUAUACAUUAGAGAAAUUGUUCAGCAAACAAUCAAUUUAGAUAUAAACACUAUUGGUAUGUUGUUGUACGAUGCAGAACGUACAUACACGGCAAUAUAUGAGACUUUUAUACUAAGUGCGACCAAAGGUAGCUAGUUGAUACUCCAUCACACGGUAUAUCUACGAAUAUGACAAUGUAGAAAAGUGCGAUCAUAGCCAACAUUGAUCUGCUAGUUAGGGGAUCUCUAUUUUGCUGAAGUGAACAAUGUACAUACAAAAUUCUACAUAGCUUCAAGAGUAUAGAAUGUAAUCCCACCUUCACAUGAUACAUUGUAGGUUACCAAUCCCAAGUUAACUUGGCAACAACCUAGAUUGCAAGCUAUGUUGCGGUGACCUGCAAGCCAAGAUGAUGGGAGGUGGGUGGUUACAGAGAGAGAGAGACGACACAACGACUUGCAAGCAUGUGAUUAUAGUCCAGUAAAUAUCACAUGGCACUGGUAGGAAAACAAAAAAUAAGGCGCUGACAAUUAGUAGAACCCAAUACCCCAAUAUUGAAUAAGGUGUGACGUUAAAGUUAGUCCAAUCAUCUACCUGUCAGAACAUCCACAACAUUUCACCUCUAAAGUUCACCUCUACAUAAUUUUUUACUAAACAAUGUUUUGCCAGAAUGUCAUACACCAUUUCAGCACAGCGAUCCUUUUUUGUAUACGGAGAUAUGAGAACAGGAACUAAUCUUAGUGAACUAAAAGUUAUUCUCCAUGUUAAUAAAAAGAGUCAGACAGCAUAGAAGAGCAUAUUGCCACCAUAAGCAAUUUCCCCUUGUGGUGAUAGCAAGAGGAAUCUGGUAAAAAUGUUCAAUGAUGGCUAUGAUCUGCAUAUGAUUCAUGAUUGGAAGUUAGUGUACACAAAUGGUUGAUCAGACAAAACACCAGAUGUUCAAUCACGCUAACAGUUAGUAGUUCGCAUUACUUUCUCUUCCGAAGCGCGCACAUUCGAGUUCAGUAUGGAUGCACUGAGCGCUUAAGACAGCGGCAAGCAUGAGCCAAACCAGAACACAACUCUGCCAAAUCCUGAAUAUUAACACAAUCUAAACUAAUGACCAUGACAACACAUACGAAAGAAAAGAAUGCAGCAGCUAGAUAGAAAAGGAAGUGAGCAAACCUCCACUGGCAGAACAAACAAGCAGCAACCUGCAGAGAUCAUACAGCCUGCGAGAUAAAAGGGAAGGAAAUCGUCAGGGCAGAAGCAUUAAUCCAAAAGAACUUCAUCUCCACUGACCAUGCAGAUGUAAACUGAAACAGCAAGGCUGUUCCAACAUUCUAGAGAAUUCAGAAAAAGCCCUAAAAUUAUGGCAUUAAACAAACAACGGCCUAUAAAUUCUCACCACCCUUCCAACUCGCCGGUCAGAAUUUAUAGGUCGUACGACCUAGUAUUAACAAAGAUCAUGCAGUAGCUAGCGAGAAAGGGAGGGAACAAACCUCGAUCGACAUAACAAAGAAGCAGCAGCCUCGAAGAUCAUACAACCUGUGAAACAAAAAAGGAACCUGGUCAGAAGGAAAAACAAGCAUAGCCUAUUCGUACAUGACUGUAUAUAAAGAUUCCCAGCCAAAAAUUGCAGCCUAUACUAAUACACGACUCGAUAUCAAGAUCAUCAGGAUACAUAGUUUCCUUACAGAAUCAUGUACGCUUGUGCAUUUAAUUAAACAUCUAAAUAAAGAUAAAGGAUAUACCAUCUUUCCAUCUGAUAAUCUCCGGUAGUCAACCACUCGUAAUAUCUUGAAAAGGAGAUUGUGCCUAUAAUUGGGAGGAUCUUGUGAAAUGUUUAAUCUAGAUAUCCUUGCCUUCCCUGUAGAUUACCGCUGGUGCAGUACUGAUUGUUCAAAAAUUCUGCAAUAUAGAGUUAAUAUGGAGUAUAUUGAGAGUACGACCAAACAAAAAAAAUUCAGAAGAAAUGGCAAGAGUUUCCAACAUUGCAAAUAAACAAUAGACCGGAAAAAAAGUCCAAAGCUUGUAGACACAAACACAAAUAGUUGAUACCCAGACCUUCGAUCAGAAAUGACUUGAAUAUUUAUUUUUCUUAGAUUGCAAGGAGCAGAUCAUUAGAUUACUUAGUACUGCUUACAAAAAGCAUACGUAACCUUCUCUUCAACUUGUGAGUAGGUUGAAUCCGAUGUUCCAGCGCAUGGUCCCCUGCUGUGCACACACAAUUGGGCGAUCCAAGUGCAAGUACUCGCAUGCCAAUGGAAGGCAGACUGCGUGCACGAUGACACACAACCCGCUCUAUUUCCUUCCUGCUGUUUUCCUUCACAAGGAAAGAUAACUAUGGAAUCAACAUUAAACUUCAGAGAAUAAGAUAAAGCUGAAUUAGAUAUCCAUACGGAAAACACCCAGAACUGAGAAAUGACAUAGGAAUUGAGAGCUGAAUUAGAGAGAGCACAUAGCCAUGUGAGAGAUGACAUAGGAAUUGAGAAAAUAUAAUCGGACCAAAUCUAGCAUAUUCUUCUGAACAUAUCCUAAAGUAAUUUAGAAAAUGUGUCUUCAUAUUUUCACUACGAAAACGCAAAUAAAUCAAAAGAAACUGAAGGUAAACGAAAAUUGGCUUGAUCAGGAGCUGCACUACUGACCAUUAAAUAAGCAGCAGUGCAACACUCUCCAUCAGCCAACCACCUACUGGGCAUCCACAAUUUUGAUUUAAAAUGAGAUAAUAGGUGAGAACCUGUCAUUGCAAUUGACAUGUUCAGGCACAAUUUAAUUUAAUUAUUAUUGUCGGUGUCUUCAAAGCAUUAUCAAUGAAUAAGAUGGAAGGUAUUAAGUUACAAAACUGACAUGCCAACACAAAUAGUUCUACUGGCAAUCAGAUAAAUCACGCGUGUAAGCAAUAUAAAAAGGAUCAUACAUAAUAGAUCAUGCAUGUAAGAAAUAUGAGUGCAGGUUUCUGUACACCUAGCACUUCUCAUUUUCACAUAGAAAGGUACAAUCAGAUGUCAAAACAACAGUAUAUGUUCAAGGCAUAUAUAUGAACGUGGUACAAAGAAGCAUCAGUGGUACAAAGAAGGAUCAGAGUAUUGCUGGGUUGGCACAGUAUCCCAGUGUUAAUGUACAUAUGGUGGAAGUUUAGGAAUGAGUUCACUUCUUUAACAAAAUAGGAAAAGUGUGGCCUGUAGCAUGAAGAAUAAAUUCAAGAAAGUAAACUGAUGGGCAGGGAACCAUUAUUUAAAUUUCCAUGGUGAAUUUCCCUACAAAAGUCCCUGCAGCAGGAAAAGCACAUGACAUAGAAAAAAAAUAGGAAAGUGGGUCCUUGUGUUUAUCUUCUGCAAAACAUGGCUAUUUUCAACAUAACCAUGUAACUAUUUUAUGCUGCACAAUCAAAAUCAUUAAGAAAUUAGUCUCUUAAUCUUCUCUUUGUAUGUGCCACACUGCAAACAGAAGGCCCAGGAAAAUGUCACAAUGCACAGAAUAAAUGAGUCAUGGCGGGUAGAGCAAACCAGCUUACUUUCCACACAAACCUGAAUCGCAACUAUCCUAACUUCAUCGGCUGUAUCAUGGCUAUUUUGGGGACGGGAAUGUUGCUUUGACUGUAACCCAGUCACCAACCUGCAAGCACAAAUAGAAGAUGGGAUCAAAUGACUUGCCCUACAAAUUUAGGACAAAGAACAGCUCUAACGCAAAAAAAAAAAGAAAAACUAAAGUAGCUAAAGAAGGGGAAAGUAGAGACCUCAUACCUUAAAAUCAUCGAACUUCUCCAUGCUGAUGGAUCCGC
rnacentral:lncRNA from 1 species